CAAUAGCGUAUAUUAAAGUUGUUGCAGUUAGAACGCUCGUAGUCGGAUUUCGGGGCGUUCCGACCGGUCUGCCGAUGGGUAUGCACUGGCCGGAGUGUCCUUUUUGCCGGAGACCGUGCCUACUCUUAACUGAGCGGGGGCGGGAGACGGCACUUUUACUUUGAAAAAAUCAGAGUGUUUCAAGCAGGCAGCUCGCUCUUGCAUGGAUUAGCAUGGGAUAAUGAAAUAGGACUUUGGUGCUAUUUUGUUGGUUUCGAACACCGAAGUAAUGAUGAGAAGGGACAGUCAGGGGCACUCGUAUUCCGCAGAGAGAGGUGAAAUUCUCAGACCCGCGGAAGACGAACCACUGCGAAAGCAUUUGCCGGGGAUGUUUUCACUGA
rnacentral:rRNA from 1 species